GAUGAACGCUGGCGGCGUGCCUAAUACAUGCAAGUCGAGCGAACGGACGAGAAGCUUGCUUCUCUGAUGUUAGCGGCGGACGGGUGAGUAACACGUGGAUAACCUACCUAUAAGACUGGGAUAACUUCGGGAAACCGUAGCUAAUACCGGAUAAUAUUUUGAACCGCAUGGUUCAAAAGUGAAAGACGGUCUUGCUGUCACUUAUAGAUGGAUCCGCGCUGCAUUAGCUAGUUGGUAAGGUAACGGCUUACCAAGGCAACGAUGCAUAGCCGACCUGAGAGGUGGAUCGGCCACACUGGAACUGAGACACGGUCCAGACUCCUACGGGAGGCAGCAGUAGGGAAUCUUCCGCAAUGGGCGAAAGCCUGACGGAGCAACGCCGCGUGAGUGAUGAAGGUCUUCGGAUCGUAAAACUCUGUUAUUAGGGAAGAACAUAUGUGUAAGUAACUGUGCACAUCUUGACGGUACCUAAUCAGAAAGCCACGGCUAACUACGUG
rnacentral:rRNA from 1 species